GGACACUUUGGGGACAGCCAGGCCCCCCCUGUCCUCCCCAGAGGGACCCAGGGACAAUUUGGGGACACUUUGGGGACACUUUGGGGACAGCCAGGCCCCCCCUGUCCCCACAGAGGGACCCAGGGACACUUUGGGGACAUUUUGGGGACACUUUGGGGACACUUUGGGGACAGCCAGGUCACCCCUGUCCUCCCCAGAGGGACCCAGGGACAAUUUGGGGACACUUUGGGGACCCCCAGCCCCUUGUCCCCAGCCUGGGGGUCACUGGCCAGACUGGGGGACACUUUGGGGACCCUCAGGUCACCCCUGUCCCCACAGAGGGACCCAGGGACACUUUGGGGACACUUUGGGGACACUUUGGGGACCCUCAGCCCCUUGUCCCCAGCCUGGGGGACGCUGCCUGCCCUUGGGGACACUCUGGGAACCUUGGGGCCACCUUGGGGA